AUGGCGGAGGCGGCGCUGGAGGGGAGCGAGCCAGUGGAUCUCACCAAGCACCCCUCCGGCAUCAUCCCCACGCUCCAGAAUAUCGUGUCGACGGUCAACCUGGACUGUAAAUUGGACCUGAAAGCAAUAGCUCUCCAGGCACGCAAUGCAGAGUAUAACCCCAAGCGUUUUGCUGCAGUUAUCAUGCGGAUAAGAGAACCAAAAACUACUGCAUUGAUAUUUGCUUCAGGAAAAAUGGUUUGCACUGGAGCAAAAAGUGAACAGCAAUCUAAACUCGCAGCUAGAAAGUAUGCUCGUAUAAUCCAGAAGCUUGGCUUUCCUGCAAAAUUCAAGGACUUCAAGAUCCAGAAUAUCGUUGCCUCUUGUGAUGUCAAAUUCCCUAUCAGGCUUGAGGGCCUCGCAUAUUCCCAUGGCGCUUUCUCAAGUUAUGAGCCAGAGCUAUUUCCUGGUCUGAUUUACCGGAUGAGGCAGCCGAAGAUUGUUCUCCUAAUUUUUGUUUCUGGCAAGAUUGUUCUGACUGGAGCAAAGGUGAGAGAAGAGACAUACACUGCCUUCGAGAACAUAUAUCCUGUCCUGACAGAGUUCAGAAAAGUGCAGCAAUGA
rnacentral:rRNA from 1 species